rnacentral:rRNA from 1 species
AUUGAACGCUGGCGGAAUGCUUUACACAUGCAAGUCGAACGGCAGCACGGGGGCAGCCCUGGUGGCGAGUGGCGAACGGGUGAGUAAUACAUCGGAACGUGCCCGGUCGUGGGGGAUAACGUAGCGAAAGUUACGCUAAUACCGCAUACGAUCUGAGGAUGAAAGCGGGGGACCUUCGGGCCUCGCGCGCUCGGAGCGGCCGAUGUCAGAUUAGGUAGUUGGUGGGGUAAAGGCCUACCAAGCCGACGAUCUGUAGCUGGUCUGAGAGGACGACCAGCCACACUGGGACUGAGACACGGCCCAGACUCCUACGGGAGGCAGCAGUGGGGAAUGUUGGACAAUGGGCGCAAGCCUGAUCCAGCCAUUCCGCGUGCAGGACGAAGGCCUUCGGGUUGUAAACUGCUUUUGUACGGAACGAAAAGGCUCUGGCUAAUACCUGGGGCUCAUGACGGUACCGUAAGAAUAAGCACCGGCUAACUACGUG